AACGCACCUUGCGCUUAUCGGUGUUCCGAUGAGCAUGCCUGUUUGAGCGUCAUUAAAUUCUCAACCCCUCUCGAUUUGCUUCGAGAGGGUGCUUGGAUCGUGGAGGCUGCCGGAGACCUGUUUUCAGGACUCGGGCUCCUCUGAAAUGUAUUGGCUUGCGGUCGACUUUCGACUGUGCAUGACAAGGCCUUUGGCGUGAUAAUGAUCGCCGCUCGCCGAAGUGCACGAACGAAUGGUCUCGUGCCUCUAAUCAGUCGACCCCUUUUCGAAGGCGUGUCUUCCUUAUCGACGUUUGACCUCAAAUCAGGUAGGACUUACCCGCUGAACUUAA
rnacentral:rRNA from 1 species